UACAGAGGGUGCGAGCGUUAAUCGGAAUUACUGGGCGUAAAGCGCGCGUAGGCGGCUUUGCAAGUCGGGUGUGAAAUCCCCAGGCUUAACCUGGGAACUGCAUUCGAGACUGCAUUGCUAGAGUAUGGGAGAGGGAAGUGGAAUUUCCGGUGUAGCGGUGAAAUGCGUAGAUAUCGGAAGGAACAUCAGUGGCGAAGGUGACUUCCUGGCCUGUUCUUGACGCUGAGGCGCGAAAGCUAGGGUAGCAAACGGG
rnacentral:rRNA from 1 species